AGGGAAAGCUGGAGGCAGGCCUAACACAUGCAAGUCGAGCGGAUGAAGGGAGCUUGCUCCUGGAUUCAGCGGCGGACGGGUGAGUAAUGCCUAGGAAUCUGCCUGGUAGUGGGGGAUAACGUCCGGAAACGGGCGCUAAUACCGCAUACGUCCUGAGGGAGAAAGUGGGGGAUCUUCGGACCUCACGCUAUCAGAUGAGCCUAGGUCGGAUUAGCUAGUUGGUGGGGUAAAGGCCUACCAAGGCGACGAUCCGUAACUGGUCUGAGAGGAUGAUCAGUCACACUGGAACUGAGACACGGUCCAGACUCCUACGGGAGGCAGCAGUGGGGAAUAUUGGACAAUGGGCGAAAGCCUGAUCCAGCCAUGCCGCGUGUGUGAAGAAGGUCUUCGGAUUGUAAAGCACUUUAAGUUGGGAGGAAGGGCAGUAAGUUAAUACCUUGCUGUUUUGACGUUACCAACAGAAUAAGCACCGGCUAACUUCGUG
rnacentral:rRNA from 1 species